rnacentral:misc_RNA from 1 species
GCCUUCGUAAAAAUCUGUUCUUUGGCAAUCAUUCAAGUACAUAGUCACAUAAACCGAAAGGCAGAAGAAGCGAGACCACAGCUUUGCCUUCCAGUCAUUGAGAAACUGAGGCUGGGCUUUCAUCAAAGCAGAGAAGAAAUCACCAUGGCGGUUCUCAUCUUGGCACCAGUUCUCGAAGUAUUUGAAAAUCGGAUAACAUAUAAACUUGGGAUUGGUCUUGAGAUGCCUGUAU